rnacentral:rRNA from 1 species
UACGUAGGGUGCAAGCGUUGUUCGGAAUCACUGGGCGUAAAGAGAGCGUAGGCGGGAUCGCAAGUUAGAAGUUUAAUACAUGGGCUUAACCCGUGGUCGGCUUUUAAUACUGCGAUUCUUGAGUGUGGGAGAGGGCGAUGGAAUUCCAGGUGUAGCGGUGGAAUGCGUAGAUAUCUGGAAGAACACCAGUAGCGAAGGCGGUCGCCUGGCCUAACACUGACGCUGAGGCUCGAAAGCUAGGGGAGCGAACAGG